rnacentral:rRNA from 4 species
GGGUUGUGAGGUUAAGCGACUAAGCGUACACGGUGGAUGCCCUGGCAGUCAGAGGCGAUGAAGGACGUGCUAAUCUGCGAAAAGCGUCGGUAAGGUGAUAUGAACCGUUACAGCCGGCGAUGUCCGAAUGGGGAAACCCAGUGCAAUUCGUUGCACUAUCGUUAACUGAAUACAUAGGUUAACGAGGCGAACCGGGGGAACUGAAACAUCUAAGUACCCCGAGGAAAAGAAAUCAACCGAGAUUCCCCCAGUAGCGGCGAGCGAACGGGGAGCAGCCCAGAGUCUGAAUCAGCUUGUGUGUUAGUGGAACGGUCUGGAAAGUCCGACGGUACAGGGUGAUAGUCCCGUACACCAAAAUGCACAGGUUGUGAACUCGAAGAGUAGGGCGGGACACGUGGUAUCCUGUCUGAAUAUGGGGGGACCAUCCUCCAAGGCUAAAUACUCCUGACUGACCGAUAGUGAACCAGUACCGUGAGGGAAAGGCGAAAAGAACCCCGGCGAGGGGAGUGAAAAAGAACCUGAAACCGUGUACGUACAAGCAGUGGGAGCACCUUCGGGUGUGACUGCGUACCUUUUGUAUAAUGGGUCAGCGACUUAUAUUCUGUAGCAAGGUUAACCGUAUAGGGGAGCCGCAGGGAAACCGAGUCUUAACUGGGCGUUAAGUUGCAGGGUAUAGACCCGAAACCCGGUGAUCUAGCCAUGGGCAGGUUGAAGGUUGGGUAACACUAACUGGAGGACCGAACCGACUAAUGUUGAAAAAUUAGCGGAUGACUUGUGGCUGGGGGUGAAAGGCCAAUCAAACCGGGAGAUAGCUGGUUCUCCCCGAAAGCUAUUUAGGUAGCGCCUCGUGAACUCAUCUUCGGGGGUAGAGCACUGUUUCGGCUAGGGGGUCAUCCCGACUUACCAACCCGAUGCAAACUACGAAUACCGAAGAAUGUUAUCACGGGAGACACACGGCGGGUGCUAACGUCCGUCGUGAAGAGGGAAACAACCCAGACCGCCAGCUAAGGUCCCAAAGUCAUGGUUAAGUGGGAAACGAUGUGGGAAGGCACAGACAGCCAGGAUGUUGGCUUAGAAGCAGCCAUCAUUUAAAGAAAGCGUAAUAGCUCACUGGUCGAGUCGGCCUGCGCGGAAGAUGUAACGGGGCUAAACCAUGCACCGAAGCUGCGGCAGCGACACUAUGUGUUGUUGGGUAGGGGAGCGUUCUGUAAGCCUGCGAAGGUGUGCUGUGAGGCAUGCUGGAGGUAUCAGAAGUGCGAAUGCUGACAUAAGUAACGAUAAAGCGGGUGAAAAGCCCGCUCGCCGGAAGACCAAGGGUUCCUGUCCAACGUUAAUCGGGGCAGGGUGAGUCGACCCCUAAGGCGAGGCCGAAAGGCGUAGUCGAUGGGAAACAGGUUAAUAUUCCUGUACUUGGUGUUACUGCGAAGGGGGGACGGAGAAGGCUAUGUUAGCCGGGCGACGGUUGUCCCGGUUUAAGCAUGUAGGCUGGUUAUCCAGGCAAAUCCGGAUAAUCAAGGCUGAGGUGUGAUGACGAGGCACUACGGUGCUGAAGUAACAAAUGCCCUGCUUCCAGGAAAAGCCUCUAAGCAUCAGGUAACAUCAAAUCGUACCCCAAACCGACACAGGUGGUCAGGUAGAGAAUACCAAGGCGCUUGAGAGAACUCGGGUGAAGGAACUAGGCAAAAUGGUGCCGUAACUUCGGGAGAAGGCACGCUGGUGUGUAGGUGAAGUCCCUGCGGAUGGAGCUGAGACCAGUCGAAGAUACCAGCUGGCUGCAACUGUUUAUUAAAAACACAGCACUGUGCAAACACGAAAGUGGACGUAUACGGUGUGACGCCUGCCCGGUGCCGGAAGGUUAAUUGAUGGGGUUAUCCGUAAGGAGAAGCUCUUGAUCGAAGCCCCGGUAAACGGCGGCCGUAACUAUAACGGUCCUAAGGUAGCGAAAUUCCUUGUCGGGUAAGUUCCGACCUGCACGAAUGGCGUAAUGAUGGCCAGGCUGUCUCCACCCGAGACUCAGUGAAAUUGAACUCGCUGUGAAGAUGCAGUGUACCCGCGGCAAGACGGAAAGACCCCGUGAACCUUUACUAUAGCUUGACACUGAACAUUGAGCCUUGAUGUGUAGGAUAGGUGGGAGGCUUUGAAGCGUGGACGCCAGUCUGCGUGGAGCCAACCUUGAAAUACCACCCUUUAAUGUUUGAUGUUCUAACGUUGGCCCCUGACCGGGGUUGCGGACAGUGUCUGGUGGGUAGUUUGACUGGGGCGGUCUCCUCCCAAAGCGUAACGGAGGAGCACGAAGGUUAGCUAAUCCUGGUCGGACAUCAGGAGGUUAGUGCAAUGGCAUAAGCUAGCUUGACUGCGAGCGUGACGGCGCGAGCAGGUGCGAAAGCAGGUCAUAGUGAUCCGGUGGUUCUGAAUGGAAGGGCCAUCGCUCAACGGAUAAAAGGUACUCCGGGGAUAACAGGCUGAUACCGCCCAAGAGUUCAUAUCGACGGCGGUGUUUGGCACCUCGAUGUCGGCUCAUCACAUCCUGGGGCUGAAGUAGGUCCCAAGGGUAUGGCUGUUCGCCAUUUAAAGUGGUACGCGAGCUGGGUUUAGAACGUCGUGAGACAGUUCGGUCCCUAUCUGCCGUGGGCGCUGGAGAAUUGAGGGGGGCUGCUCCUAGUACGAGAGGACCGGAGUGGACGCAUCACUGGUGUUCGGGUUGUCAUGCCAAUGGCACUGCCCGGUAGCUAAAUGCGGAAGAGAUAAGUGCUGAAAGCAUCUAAGCACGAAACUUGCCCCGAGAUGAGUUCUCCCUGAGACUAUAAGUCUCCUGAAGGAACGUUGAAGACGACGACGUUGAUAGGCCGGGUGUGUAAGCGCAGCGAUGCGUUGAGCUAACCGGUACUAAUGAACCGUGAGGCUUAACCUUACAACGCCGAAG